CUCGCGGAUACAUACGUUGUCAUGCUGAGUCUGUCCAAGCCUGUCCAUGUUUCAUGCCUGCCUCUGCUAUCACCUGUCUUCCUGGAACCUGCAAAUCCACAGAAGGUACUAACCUUUCCUCUGGAUCACCUGCACGCAAGACUCCUGCCUGUCCACCCCAAAGUGGCGAAAGGACAUCGGUCGGCACAUGGUGGAUGAAUAUCUUAUAAUAAAAAAGGAUGAUAAACUUUCUGCCAUGAAGGAAAACCAGGGAGAGGGCAACAGAGAAACCAACAAUAAAGGGACAGGAAACAGACACUUGAAUACAAUUGAUACAUCAUGGUCUAAGCAAAAAACAGGUGAAAGUAAUCAAUAGAAACACAAACAGGUGUGGAUCAUGACAAAUCCAGGUUUUGUACCCUUGUUUUUUCCAAGUAAUGAAUUGGAAUAAAUAGUUAAUCUCUUUACAGAUUACUUCUCAAAACAAAUAUUUUCUUUGAUUUUUGUCCUUCACUGUUCAGGUGGUUCCACCCUCCUCUUUGUAUAAUUGCCCUGGAGAAUAAUAUUUUUCAUCAUACUUAAUGUUUCCAAGUAACCAUUUUCUAUCAACAAAUUGGGUGUGGUCCUCUUGGAGUGGAAUGUGCAUCUCACUGAACCUCCUGAGAUUCCCACUUCUAGCUUGUGAUAAAAUUCAGUGUUCCCCUGUUUACUCGGGUCCCCAAAAGGAUGGUAAUCUGAAAAAAAUGGGAGUUAAGUACACUAAAUAUUUAGUUUUGACAUAAAUAGCAAAUUUCACAAGAAAAGAGAAACUGUUCUGUUUCUAAAAAGACUGCACUCUUCAAAGCCUAGCUGAUUGGUUACAGCAUUCUUGGAUCCAGCCUAAUUUAAAAAUGACAAUCAUGAUGUUCUUCACUGAGAAUUUUCCAAAAAGGGUUUCCCUAUUUUUCACAUCCACAUCAUUCUCUUAUAAAUCAACAGCACCUUCUCAUGAUCAUCAACACCAGCCCUAGGCCCUAUCUAUUCACUAUUCACUCAGGCCUUGGCAGGAUGCAGAUAGGUGCUAGAAGAUCAAACCCUGCUGUCAUCAUGACGACACCUUAUACACAGAUGAAACCUGGUUAAUCAAUUAAUCAAACUUUAUUUAUUAAAAAAACUGGAGAUUUGCAGAUUUUAUGAGAAGGAUAAAAUGAUUUAGAUAUUGAGCUAUCCUUUUCGUAGAGCAAAACUGCCUAUUGAAAUGCCUCAGCUAAGUAGGAUAUAAACUAGUCUAGAGCUGUACUGCUGAUGGCCCCCUGCUCCAAACGGGAAAACAAGAUCCGAUGGUCCACUGUGCCAAAAGCAGACGAUAAAUCUAGAAGCACGCGGACAACAGUCAUCAGUGUCUUUUGCUAAGAAAUAUUGUCACAAUGUGGGUGCAUGAGUCUGUGUUUUUCCGGAGGAGAGCUGCUGGUGGGCUUGGUGCCCAGCUGAAUGCUGCACACCUGCAUCAAUCCAGGAUGGAGCGUUUAAAAGGAGGUGUGGGAUGAGCAUUCUUUGCCUGAUGGGCCCACAUAAGCGGUUUCGAAAAGCUGAUUGCUUCCCGGAUUUCUCCUUCCAAUACUCAGAUGACCGUGAUUAUAUCGGACAAACAAUCCCCAGCCGUCCUUCACAGCACCUGGCCGCUCCAACCUGCCUGCCCGCUCUCCGACACACCUGUAUACCUAUUGAGUUGGACAUCCCUGACCAAACCCCUCCUUUGAGACUUACCACCCAUAUCGCUGCCACGCCUCAAAUCUGUUUUCCACGCUCCUGCACUAGCACCAGAUUCUCGCUUCCAGUUUUCCCCAAUGAUGUACAAAAUAAAUCUUUUGCAAACUUUGAA